rnacentral:rRNA from 1 species
GACGAACGCUGGCGGCGUGCUUAACACAUGCAAGUCGAACGGAAAGGCCCUGCUUUUGUGGGGUGCUCGAGUGGCGAACGGGUGGGUAACACGUGAGUAACCUGCCCUUGACUUUGGGAUAACUUCAGGAAACUGGGGCUAAUACCGGAUAGGAGCUCCUGCUGCAUGGUGGGGGUUGGAAAGUUUCGGCGGUUGGGGAUGGACUCGCGGCUUAUCAGCUUGUUGGUGGGGUAGUGGCUUACUAAGGCUUUGACGGGUAGCCGGCCUGAGAGGGUGACCGGCCACAUUGGGACUGAGAUACGGCCCAGACUCCUACGGGAGGCAGCAGUGGGGAAUAUUGCACAAUGGGCGGAAGCCUGAUGCAGCAACGCCGCGUGCGGGAUGACGGCCUUCGGGUUGUAAACCGCUUUCGCCUGUGACGAAGCGUGAGUGACGGUAAUGGGUAAAGAAGCACCGGCUAACUACGUG